CUUUGCCAGAGCUGAUGUUUGUACUGGGAAAGGCUCUGAGGAGGACAGGCCAUGUCAUGUCACGUUGUGAUCUCCACAGCUGAGCUCAGAAGCAGAAUACCUGCUUGAAAAGCAAAUUUAGGGGAUGGGGCUGCUCCAAACAGCCCUCCCAUCCCGUCCCCCUGCCCAGCUCACCCUCGUGUGCAGCCCUGCAGCAGGGAUUGACCUGAGUUAAAAAUAAUGCUCUUUCCACAGCUUAUUUUUAACCCGGCCCAGCCCCUGAAGCCUGCUCCUGUGUGCCACACAAGGGCAGGGGGCAGCUCCUUCUGGCCGCAAGCAGAAGGCCUGAUUCACUGUUGCCAAUAUUAAUUAAAAGCCUUGCAGUUAGUUCACUUGCUAAACUGGCUCAGGGAAGUUGUACUUCUAAGGGUUAAUUCUGAAAAGGAGGGUUUCUGAAUUACUGCUCUAAACCCAGCAAUUAAAGUUUGGUUUUCAGGUGCGCCAGGUGCUCCCAAAUGAAAAGGAGCUUCUAGGGAAAAAGAAAUCAAAGGCAAGCUGUGAUGCUCUCCACAGCUGUAGGACAUCAAAUAGGACCCCGAGGGUGAAAAACAGCUUGUGGCAGCAAAAUGCUGCUGCUGGAGAGGGGAAGGCAGGGAUCCUUUAACCUGUCAUUAACCAGCAGAGGGCAACAUUGCCUAUCACGAGGGGAAACGUUAUCAGAAAAGUCACUGCCAACUCCUACUUAUCCAGUAACGUGUGGAUUUCGUGUUUAAUGCGAAGUGGGAGCAUGAUUCCUGGGUCGGGUGGACACUUUUGGGGAGCCACCAGACACAGCCAAAGGACCUGUAUUCACUCGUGGAACAUGGAAAUGGCACACAGGAGUAGCACAGGAGUGAGAAGGGAGACAGACGAUGGUCCGGCUGAGGUGUGACAGUUCCGGCAUUAAUAUUUACCUCAGCGGAUGAUAGCAGGCUUCUUCUGAGACUGAGGUCAGACACUUUCUGGGAAACCUGGUGCUUUGGAGGAACCUGAAGUUCUCCUGGGGAUUACCUGCUUCUUUCAUUCCUUCUCAUAGAAGCUCCACAUCUAAUAUCGUACAGCACCGACAAAACACCAGGAGAACGAGCAACUACAGCAAAGCAAGCAGUCCAAUUUGUGGGACCGAACUUGCAGCUUACUUUCAGUUUCUUUCAUUUCUGUUGGGAGCAGGGGAUGCUCACUACAAGAAAUCAGGUGUUUUCCAACACCGCGUGUACACACCCACACACACCCUCCCGAAAUCCUGGGCAACGCUCUCAGCCAUAAAAACGCUCCCUCCGCGGUACCCGAGGCUAUAUUGGGCAAGUUCUUUUGAUUCAUUGUUCUUGAACUUGUUGCUAAAUGCCAGGAAACACUGAUAUUGCAGCGCUUAACAGCACAAGUUAUAAAAUCUACCUCAGCACACGCUUCAUCAGGUUUGUUGGACUCGAGAGAAACUGAAAUUUUCACCGAGUUGUCUCCAGCAAAUGUCACCAUCUCGGUUUGACAGUGAAAGUCUUUAAAGAUCUCCCUCCUGCAACUUCCUAUGGUGCUUAUGAGGAAAAGCAGCCAUUUUAAAAUCUACUGAUUAAAAAAAAAAUGCAAUUAGUCUGCGAAGCCAAAAGAGCCUGAAAUCAUUCCGAAACUAUCCGGGGAAUGCCGCAACAGCUGCAGAAGCUGCACCAUCGCUGCUGGGGCAAAGUUUCUAAAAACCAUAAAGGGAGCUUACUUCAGCCCUGGAGUUUACCAGCUGAAGUACCAGAUGGAGGACAACAUUGAGUCAUCUCGCACAAACUGGUGGCUUUCCCCAGUUACCGAUAAUCAUUUUCCCUCCGGAGUAACCGUCCACCUCUCAGUACCGCUGUUAUAUUCAGAAAGCACCCAGAGGUUAAUGGUUUGCUGUGGUGACGGACAUCCUCCAUGCAAAGCACUGGGAAAUAUUUAGCUGAAGCAGUGCCAGAGUGCUCAGCUGGUUAUGAACUAAACAUGUGGGCUCUCCAUCAAUGCCCUCUCCAGGCACUGGCUGGGAUGUCCCACCUCGUCCUUUUCCCAUCUCGCAGCCUGCGCCAGGCUAACAGCUGUAAAGCCCUGCCUGCAGCAUCACCGGGCUCAAGCACAUACCUGCUCCUACACCUGCCCGUGCUCACUUUGUAACUUUGGGGAUUUUGUGCAGGGUUUCCCAGGGUUGUUGCUGUUUCCUCUGCUGUGGGAGCCAGGCUCAUGCCCAUUUCCCGAGAGAGGUUAAAAAAAAAAAAAAAAAGUUUUCAGUGAGAGGAGAAAGCAGGGGAGGUGGUGGUGAAGUCACUGGAAGUGAUGGAAAAAUAGGGGAUGGGAGAUGGGGAGAAGGACAGACUGAUGAAGCCAACAUUGCACUUCUAUUUCUGUCCCGGCAGAGCCAUGCCUGCAGCACGCCUAGGAUCUGGGAAAGGGCAGGGCUCCAUGCUUUCUGCUUAACGCACACCGCAAUCCUCUGCCCUUCUGGCUUUAAAAGCUGGCAGUGGACUUGCUGCUUGUGUUUCUGCUCCUCCUGCGCCAGCUCAGCCUGUUCCUGCACCACCCGUGCUCCUGGUACAGGCGAGGGCAGGGGAAUCCCCACUGCGGUUCUGCACCCGCAGCACCCAGCUGCCCCUUUCCUGCUGCUGCCACCAACAACCAGAGGCAAUGGGAGGACUUCUCACACCCCUAAGCACUUCACACACCCCCCUCGCCCAGCUACGUCCUGUACCUCAGCCCUGCCCCAACACGAAUCCAGCACUCCCAGCACAUCAAACUAUUUCAGAAGGGAUGAUUCACCACAACAAUACAUCAAUCUGCAACAAAUUGGGAAAAUUAAGUCAGUGUAUGCCAUAUGCUAAUUGCAGCAGCAUUGCAAGGAGGUAUUUUGAAAGGAAAUGUCCUCUGACAGGCUGAGGUGCCAUCCAUUGCUACAGCCACUCCUGUUUGAUUACACCAAAUGCUGCAGCCUGACAAACACUCAAGAGCCUGGAUUUACAUCCUCACUGCCAAAAUGUACCCCUCAGAUGAUCUUUUAGAGCCCAGUGGUCCUACAUGAAGUUUGAAGACAGAGAAAACUGCGGCCAUAGCACACCCAGGCCUCUGCAGAGCUGUUUUGCUCUGUGCCCUGUAUGCCUUAUACAACUGCUCUCAUCUUAAAAUCCUGAUGUGGGAAAGGCAAACAGCAGCGGGUGACACGAAUCCUCACGCUUCCAGUAGGCAGAGAUGAGCCCAUUUGUAUGCUGCUGCUCAAAGUGAAUUUUAUUAAAGGUAAGAGACUUCAUCACAAAAGAGCCUUAUUCAUCGUGGCAGAUUUUGAAAGGAAGCAGAGUGAGGAAUGAGUUUCUCAGCUUGACAUGUGUAAACACAAAUUAAGAUUCAAGCCUCAGAGUUUGAACAAAGGGACCUGAUUAAAAAAGAAAAAAAAUGAGAUUACUGAAAAGAAGAUGCUUUCUAUACUUCUCAGGCCAAAUAAACCCAGAGACAAUGUAGGUGACUUCAAGGACUUAGUCUAUUCCCACUUCACUGCUGGGUCACCUCAUAUCUCCACAACAUUUUCCUUCAAAUCAUGCUGCAUUUUUAUUAAGUUUCAGUGUUGUCUUCAAAAGUGGCACUAGGGGCUGCUGCUCCCAGGGUAGCUCUCCCCAGCACUGUCCCUACACAACACAAAGACGCCAUGCGGAUCACAGCCACCAUCUCCCUCUCUCACAGCCCCUCAGAAGUCAACCUCAGGCCAAAACCCUGGCAGGCUUCACCUCCACAACUCGGGUUUCCCUUUGAAACUGGAUUUUGAAGCACAACACAAAAGCCUAUCAGGAAAAACAAACAAAACCACCGCCCUAGCAGUGUGAGGCAAAGCUCGCUGCUGGAGGCAGCAAAGCACAAACAGAGCUCACUGGGCACACAGGGCCUUCCACCGGCAUGGCAGAAACACGAGGCCUGCGCCGUUCUCUGGCGCCCAUGCCACACGGCCCAGUGUCUGCAACCACCAUCCUGUCACGGGCCCGGUGUCCCCCUCGGUGCCCUGACAGAGGGCACAGGCUUCAGGACACAGUGCUGACACCUCUCGCUUGGGCUGGAGACCCUCCCGGGUGGAAAGGCCGCUCCGCUCCCCUGAGGACAACCUUGCCUUCAGCCCUCCUAGGAGGGACCGCUGCUAGGUGAGUUGUAAAAUCAGCUUCUAGCCGAUUACACAACUCUUCAGACAGCAAACAGAGAAAAACUGCUCUUCUAUUUUUGCAACAGACCGAUCUUUAACACGUUUGGUUUUAAUAAGGCCUCAAGAUGAGGUCCUGUAUCUCUGCUAGCAGCCUGCACUACAAGGAGCAUCUCCGGGGCAGUUCAGAACAAGCCAUAGUUUCUAAGUCAGUUUGGUUACGUUUUAUUUCCUACUGAUUAUCUGAUUUAAAUCAAUCUUCAAAGACCUAAUGCACAGCAAACCCAGAUUGCUGUAAGAGAGAGAUUUUAUAUAAAAAGCAAACCCGUGCAAUUAAACGAAAGAAAGAAUCUUGCAAGUGACUUCACAAAAAUGUGAUGAACGACUUCCACGGCUGUUUUGUCAACACUUCCAUAGUAAUUUGGCAAGCGCACAAGACGGCCAAGUUUGUAUUCUGAUCAAGUGGCUAUUAGCGCUGCUGAAGCCUUGCAGACAUGAGGCAGCUUCCCUGUCUUAUAUUGCAUUGCCCUUGGUCAGUUUAUAGGCUCCCAUCUUUUCAGGUUAUUCAUUUGAAAAAUAUUCUCCCUCACACCUUGAGCCUUAACUAUGACACCAAGGGUUUCACAUACACUUAUAAAAAAAAAAAAAAACGUUAUAUCCAUCAAAGUGUAAUUCAUUGCUCAUCCAUUACUAGGACAGGGGCAAGGAAAUUCCAGCUCCCAGUGCCUGCACACAUCCCUGAUUUAACAGAGGCACACAUACAAAAAAAUACCAGAACCUUUUAAUUGACACUGAAAAUGUCACAUGCUCCUGGCAACAGGAAGUCUGACAGCUCAAUAGGUUUCAAAAAUAUUUUAUGAACCUUCACCACAAAACCCAAUCCUAUUUUUGACAUCUUCCUGACAACAAAGAACACCAAGCAAUUAGCUGGCAUUCCUGCUCGAUAAUGACACGCUAAUGAGAGGUCUGAAUCUGAAAUAAAGCAUCUUGCUGCAAGUUGACUUUCAAUACUAAUUUUAGCGAAAUAUUUAACUAGGAACCAGCACCCAGACCUCACAGGUGCCUUCACUCCCAAGCUGCACCACCUUUUGCUGUUCAUCUCCAAUUCAUCAAGGAAAUCUCAAAGUUUCCAAGCUAUCUUCUUUUAACCCCAAAGUUAAGCUGUUCAACCUGUGCCUUAAAACCACCAUAGCUUAAUACAAUAAUUUUUUCAAAGGCCUAUCAAUAAUAAAUACUGAUACACAUCAACUUCUACAUGCAAACAAAUAUACACAAAAUUAGAAACAAUUAUUUAUAUGCACAGAAAGAAGGAACUGCUCUGUGCAUACUGCUCAAACUGAAGUCCUGACCAAAUUAACCCUUGAGAGUGGAAAGCACAAAAAUUAAAGUUUUCAGCUAAAAGUAACAAACACCAAACCAGAACCACUACUAUAAUCCAACAAUAACAAUACUUACAAUUCUUUUGUGCCUGGAAACAGUAUCAUCAGUCAUUUUAUACGCUGCUUCUGAAGAGAUCCAGGGAGAAGAGAGGACGUUUUACCGAGAGGGCUCUGUGAGCUUUUGAAGCAGAAGCAGGGUUCAAACACCGAUGUUGGCAUCUGUGCAGCACAUGCAAUGCAGCCAUGCAGAUCCUGGCAAGGCCAUCGCAGUGGAGAGGUAGAGGUGCCACAGCAACCCCAGCACGGAGCGAUGGCUGUUCAUGGUCCAGUGCCAUCCCACCUGCCCUUUCUCUACCUUCUCAUCAAACCUUUGGGAUCCAUGGGAUGAAGCACAAAGCGCAAUGACAACCAUUGCUGACCACAGUCCCUGAGGCCAAAGCAAAAAAGGGGCAGGGCUGUGCUGAAGAAGCACCGUAAAAUCUGGGACACUGGAGAAUGCCAAGUUCCAGGGGGGAGCACAGGAUGACCAUGAGCUCUCAGCGCAGAGGUGGGUGUUCCCGUGGAAGCCAUGUACCCACGCUGAGGCCACACACCAGGGGAACAACUCACCACCUUCAGCUGUCGGGACUAGUUGCUGCUCAGCAUCACCUAUCUUAUGGAUGCACCUCCUGCGGUUCUGCAAUGGCAACGAAAGCUUUUCCAAAUAUUUAAGUCACUUCGACAGCUGACUCACUAUAUACCAGUGGAAUAAAUAUUUGAGAAGAAAAAAAAACAUCAUCAUCAAAACUGUUUCAACUACAAAGGCGCUUCAGUAGAACUAGCAAACGAAAGCACAGCAUCCAGCAAACUUAAUCCCCUUCCCUCUUGAACAUCAGCAAACUCGAAACCUUCUCAGAAACACUUGCCAAGUUUUACUAAGAUGUAAGAUGCCAAACUUCAUUUAUGCCACAGCAUUUCUCCUUGGCUCUGUAAAGUCAGUGCUGUUCACUUUGCAGAGCUGCGAGCAUACUGCAGUCACACUGUUGUGUCAAAAGGAAACCCAAAACAGAUGCACAACAGAAAGCUGACAUUUACACAGAUUUACAUGCAUGCAAGUUGGCAACUGACAGAAAAAGCCCCAGAUUUUGCACUUUUGAGAACAUUUCAUCACUUUCCAAUUAAAAUUCUGACCUUGCCUGAACUCUGGGCAUUGGACACAGUGUAGUAAUUCUACAGAAACAAAUUUCCUUUUACAGUAAUUUUAAAAAAUACUAAAGAAAAGAAUUAAUGACUGUUUUAACGACUUUUUCCAAAGAAAAAACUGCCAACACAAGAAUACUAAGCUGAAAAAACCCCUACGAAGCACAAUACCGUAACUUCACCAAUAGAGCCAGCACCUGCUGUGAGACGGAUCUGUUCAGGGAAGCCUUCAGACACUGAAUUUCCAGUGAGAUGAACUGAUAAAUAAACCCACGCCUGUACCACAAAGACACUUGACAAAUCCCUGAUUACAGUUUAAAAGAAAGCACUGCUACACCUCAGUGUCUAUAUGCAUCUCAAUCUCAAGUGAAAAUUUGUAUGCUUUAAGCAAAGAUGUCACCAAAAAAAAAAAAAACAACAAAAACUGAAGAAACUCUGACCUCUAUUAGUAAUAUACCAUCUAAUCUACAGUAAGGCUGCACUUCAAGUGCUGACACGGCUACACACCAUUUACAGGCCCAUACACAGCACCUGAGACGCCAAUAAUUUGGGGAAUUUUACCACCACACCCAAAAAACACAGGAGUUAGCUGAAUCUGGAGCCAAACGUGAAUGAAUGGCUAGUUGUUGGUACAGAAGAGGCUGGGAGGUGUAAGGCAGAAACGCACCCACCCCCACCUCCUGUUUAAAAAAAGAAAAAGAAAUUUUCUGCAGUUGGAAACUAUUCUGUCCAGGGCAGGAGGAACCUCCUCUGCAACAGAAUAAAUAGCAUAUUUAGGCACUCAGCUUCGUGAUUUAUUCUAUGAAAGCAGUUACCAGGGAUCUAGUCAUCUUUUUAUACAAACAUUUCAAGGAGCAAAGCACACACAUGAUCUCAGAGCAACUGGUGAAGGAGAGGGAAGAGUGGAAACUACAGCUGAAUACUCAAAGAAUCUUUUGCUCUUCAUUUUGUUCAUCAGGAAUAGGAAGGCUCAAACACCUGUGCCUCCUCUAAGAAAUGUUUUAUUUCCCUCAAUUUAGCUUCUUGUAAUCAUUCCUUAAUAUAGGAAUUAUCUUCUAGAUUAUUCACUGCAUGAGAAAGCACUACAUUUACUUCCUAUUGUAUGACACUUAUAACUCUGUCUUGCAACCAUUGAAUUUGAGUAGUUAAAAUUACAAAACACUACAAAAAUACUAUGAGUAGGGUUCAGGACAAAUUACUCAACUUUCUUUUAACCUUUCAAACAGAGAGCUAUCUUUCAGUUCUUCUAGGAUAACACUUUCAGAAUGGAUCAAAAAAAAUCAGUCAAUACCAGUGUUUUAGAAAUACUUGGAAAUGAUUCACGUCUGUUUAUUGUCCUCCUUGCAAUUUUUUAAGUUAUAUACCCUGUAAUAUUAGCUGUAACACCCCAAAAAUACAAGAAUAUGCAUUGUGAAGUAUACCUAAUUUUCUUUUUCCUUAGCAGUAGUAAAAAAAAAAAAAAACUUAUAAUGCACUUUGUCAUAUUCAGCCCCAUUCCCUGGAUGAAUCCUUUUUGCAUAAGAACACCUGAACACCCAACUCAAGUCUUCUUGAGCUGCACAGAGAACAGAAUUGCAUUUCCUAACUUUGAAAUAGGUUCUCUAUGGGACAUAACUCAAAAAUUCUGAGGUUCCUUGGAAAAUAAGGAUACAAUUACUUUGCUUUAACAAAUUACAGCUUGGCACUUUUAAACAGUAAGUUGUUUUGAAGUGGUUUUCUGCUAACAAGCAGUCCGCAAACCCAAGGUGCACACUGGCUGUAUGCCUCAAGGUUAGAAAGGUUUCUUUCCAGGUCUACUCUUAAGCCAGAAAAGGGCCAGCAGUAUGGCAUGUACAAUUAUUUGCUUUUCCAUUAACAAGUUUCCAGGUUACUAAAGCUUUGCUUUUCAGUUAACAAGUUUCCAGGUUACUACAGCUAUGUCUACAGUGGUGAAGCUGCACUGCUCUGACUCUGUUUUUUAAUCAGCGAAACCCUUGCAGUUUCUACAGUUUGUACAGAAAGGAGGCUUCACAAAAGCUGUCUUAAGUACUGAAUAUUUAGAUCUCAAAAUAGGGUUAAUUUGACUGUAAAAGAAUUAAGAUUCAGUUCAGGAGUUAAUUCCAGCACUCUCCAAGCAAGGUACCCUCCCAAGAAAAUUAGGAAGGACCUACAGAAACCACAUGAUACUGCCAUACAAGUGCUGCUGAGUUCAAAUUCCAGGAGCUUGCCUGUCCAGCAGCACCUCUCAGAAAUAAACGUGAUUAAAAAUGAUUAUUAACAAAUGCAGCUCCGAGUAUAUUCAAAAGCCAAGUGUCUACGGACAGGUUUUUUUUACCACACAUACAAGCCCUGUAGGAGACGCUUCUCUGGCAGUUUCCUGUUGAAAUAUGUUUUUCUGACAUAAUGUUCCCUUAGGUAUUUAGCAUGCUACCAAAACCAAUCUAAUUAACCAAAAGCCAGCUUUUUUUCAUCAUAUUAACUUAAGCUUCAAAACACACAUAUUGCUGUCCACUUAGGAUUUAACACACACUAAAAAUAAAAACUUGGAAUUGUAAAUACUUUGCCCACAUUUUUCAAACAAACAAUCCAGUCUGCCAAAUGAAUCUUUGCCAUAACAUGACAUUAACCUCUUAGCUUUCAUCUCAGGACCCAAAACGAGGCGCUCUGAAGCUCUGCAGUCUGUUUUUGGUGAGAAGAGAGAGGAGACAUGCAAGGACUCAUGGCGAUUCCAAACCCAAUUCCCUGGGACAGUCAUCAAGGCCCUCGCUCUGGUUUCCUCUUUGUCACUGAACACCCAAUUUGUCCACUACAAUAAAGCAACUACUUACCUUAAUAGGUUCACAACACCUUCUCCCACUCGAAUUCCUCUCUUGUCACAUCCCAAACUGGAUGCUUUAGGGCAACGGUCACACAGUGUCUGUGCCCUGGAUGCACAUGUUGCCUAUCUUCCCAGCUCCCUGCCUCUAUAGCAGCUCCCGACAGGGAUCUCCACACACAGCCCCAGCCAUCCCUUCAACUCCUUCAUCACUAAAGCAUUCCCUGGUCUCAAAACCACAAUAAAAAUGUUAUGAGCAUUAACGUAGGGGGAGAGAAAAAAAAAAAAAAGACAAUCAUGGUAAGGCAGACCCUACAAAGAAAGGUCUGAAGGACAUUGCACCUUUCAUAUCUCAUCUGCUCUCCAACCUGCUGAGUUUUCUGUUACUUCCAUGUAGACCCAAACACUUGCUUCUUACUAAAUCAUAUUUUUCAGAAAGAUGGUCUUUAAGACACCAAAAGCUGGAGAAACCACUCCUCUUGGCAGGUUCUUUCAACAGUUAAUCACUCAUGUGUUAAAAAAUGCAUGUUUAUCUUCUCAUUUGAAUUUGUCUAGCCUUACACAAAUGUUUAUACUCUUCUUCCAAACAAGGCAAACUUUAAUAGCAGUUUAUUCUUACUGUUGUACUUUAUUUUUUUAAGCAAACUAGGGUUUGGCACAUCAUCCUCAGGCUGCAGAAGCACCUCCUGGUCCUGCCCUGGAGCAGCACCCAGCAUUAGCCAGCAGAGAAGGGGUCGAGUAAAUGCCCACAGCUUCUGGAUCAGCUGUGGUUAACUUGUGAUCAGGGUUUCUAAGAGGUAAGGCAACAGGCAAAUGAAGGAAAAAGUCCUUGGAAUUUACACCAACAGCACAGAACAGGCUGGAUUGGUUUCCUGCUUCUCCCUUACUGGUUUCACGCCCUGCAAGCUGCAUUGUGAAGCAGCAUCACCCAUAACAAGCAUGUUUCUUCUUGGAGCUAACCUGUACAAGCCCAGCAAAGAUGGAAGCAGCACUGGAGGUGUUUAAUGAAAGGAAGAUUUGAUGGCUGCUCUGUUUUCAAAGUCUGAAGGUGAAUCUUCCUGAAAGAAAAAUCUACAUUUUUAGGCCUGUUCAGUAGCUAUGUCUAAGACGGAAGCCCAGAAGUUCAUGAGCAUUACCCUUGCUUGCAAGCAAUACCAGAUGAAAGCAAAACAACUUCCAGUGAAUUUCCAGCUCUCAGCUACUCCCCUGAACAUUCACCUCCCAGUUUGUAUGGAAGAAUUUAAGAAUCUCUUUUACUGAAACUCAGUCUACGGUCAGAUCCUUACCAUCAAGGUACUGAUGGCAAGCAGUAUUAAGAAAUGUACAUCCAGAUUAGCAGAUUAAUUCUGGGAGGUGUCUGAGUACUUAACAGGGCAUGCCCAAAUAAAUGAAGAUAAUGAAGUGUAAUCUGCUGAGUAUUAUUAAGGAAAGCCUGGCCAAAGUCUUUUCAAUAAAAAAUGCUUAGUCCUAAAGUCCUGUAAGAGAAACGGGAAGAAAUACUGGAGGAAAUGCUGAGCUUUGGCAUGUAGUUCAUGUAGUUUUUCUCCAUUUUCCUCCUAUGAAAUGGUUUCAUAGAUGAGUCCAAAACAAUUGUAAACCAUCCAUAGUCUGGCUUGCUUUGGACAGAGACCAUUGCUGCAGAAUAUGUACUCACACAGGCAAGAAGCAGAAGUCCCCUGCUGAGUAAGACAACUAUCACAACUGCAUGGCAAGUGCUGGCAGUUUCUGUACUGGCUUUUGUUCUGCUCAGAGUAAAGGGCAGCCUCCACCUACGUGAAAAAAGUUUGCCAGAGGUGGCAACCCUGGUGAGUUACACGGAUGUCUGAUAAAUAAGCAAUUUCACCUUAAUCCAUGCAUCAUUUACAAUGAUCAAAACAGACACGAUAUAUAUUUCUAGGAAAAAAAAAAAAGACCACUGAUCUGCUCAGCUUCUCUACCAGAUGCGUUAAAGUUUCUGCAGACAUAUGAUUUAUUUUUUUUUCUCCAGGUAAACUCCCCUCAAAUUUCAAUCACGGCUGUGACUACAGCUGAGAUAGAAAAACUUUAUUCCAAAUCUGCUGCUCUGCAUCUUUAGCUAUUUCAGUAACAGCUUCAGGCAACGGGGUUACAGACAGAACCAAAUUAUCUCUCUCUAUAACUCUCUCCGGGCCAUCAGAACCGCGUGUCCCAAAAUUUGAGCUUUCUAACCAGUCACACAAGCUGCAUUCCUCACCCAUACUAUUAACUCAUUCAAAAUUUACAAGUGAGAAAUAACACAGAUUUCACAUUUGAUGUUUAAUAUUCAAUAAAAGGAGGAACUGAAGCCUUCUGAACAUACCACGUCAUUUGUUACUACCAGAUAAAAGACAAGCAUCCUUACUGCAGUUUUUACAAUCUAAGCAUUAAUAUGUAAUCUGUCAGAAUUCACAUUCAAGUUUUUUGAAAGCAUUCAUCUUUAUUCUCAGUGCCGGUGAGCUUGCAACUACAUUUCUUUUUCCCUUUUUUCUACCAAGUUUCUUUCAAAGUUGGCUGCAUUGAAAGGAAUAGCUGAAAGAGCUCUCAUCUGUGAUUCAGUAGAAAGGAUAAGCUACAGAGCAAACUAAAGCAUUAAGAGUUACUACUCUAAGCCUCCAAAAUACAUUCUCCUGAUUGUCAAUUUUAAGUAAAGCUCAGAAGUUAUCUAUUUCUACUGAUUUUUAAAAUGAACCCGUAAUACUGCAAAUGCCAGCAUUAUUUAAAAUGCCAGAACACUGAAGAGACAGUUCCAUUAAAUGACAUCCUUUUAUUAAAACUUAUUUACCUUCUGAAUUAAACAUAGUUUAAUCCCCGCCAUUACAUUUUGAAGCUGACAUCUGCUCAGGUAGAAGACUUCAGCUCCCUUUAUGCAGAAGAUAAUUAGCACUUGGGCCAGCAGUGCAAUCUGCCUCACCCCAAGACGUCCUAUUUGGAUACUUCAGAUUCGGAUACUACCACAUCCAGACUACCACCUGGAUUUCAGACACGGUAAGCGUGACAGGGGAUAUAGUACUCGUGAGUUUUCAAUUACCUUCCUACCAGCUGCUGUAGGUAAGAUAAUACCUAAUCCAGCAGGAAGCCUGCCAGAGCAAGGUUAGUUUUCAGAGAAGUUUCAAUGACUUUGAAUCAGCAGUCGGCUCAUGUGGGUUCAGAGGUAGAGAUCACGUGGUCACAGCAUUUUUUUUCUUGCUUUCAUUUUCUUUUCUUUUUUCCUGACAGCAACAUCUCAAAAUUGUAUAAAAGAGCCCUUUUCGGCUCUAACUUUGCAGUAUCGCACCACACUGAACCAUCAAGUCUGAUCAAGCAGCAGAUCCACUACAAUUAAGAAUUCCAAAGGUACAGUUUGCAACACCAGCGAAGUGAAUUUGCUUGGUUCCAACAUUACUGCAGCAUAAGGACCAUUUCAGCAUCCUGGGUGGAAGAUAAAAAGCUUUUUACUUAGCCACCACUUGAAGACAAGCAAUAACAAGAAGAAAACCCAAACUAUCUAUGUUUAGAACUAUGUAAAACAAGUUUGAAGUCACAAUUCAGUCCCAAAGUAAACAAGACCAGGGAGAACAGAUAGUAUAUAAAAAGCUUUCUAAUCUUAUGUCAAAAAAAGCAGUUUCCAAGUCAAGGUUACAGUUCACUAGCAGGUCACUGAUGUCUGUAUUGCAACCACGCUGUGAGAACACUGACUUAAAAUAAGCCUAAGUUCUAAGACAUCAGGAUCGAAGAGAAAGGUUUUCCAAAAACACUUUUGAAAUGCUUCCCCCAAAAGGCUAACAAGAAUUCUAAGUUAAAGUAAGGGAUUGUAUUCCUGUAGAGUGCUUUUGAAAAGUUCCCUGGUCAUAAGCAGCAUUCAACUGUAACACCAUGUGAAAUGCCAACAACCAUCUUCAAGGUAGACACAAUCUUUUUACAACACAGAUUAAACUAAGGCAAAGUAGGAAACAAGCUCACCUUCCAAACAGAAGCACAUUCAAGAAGAGAGUUUGGGUUUAAAAAAAAAAAAAAAAAAACUUCCCUUAUCACUGGGCAAUCCCACAGAUGGUCUAAAGCAGACACACACCUAAAUACAACACAGACAAGCUUCCACUUUCACCUAGAGCUAAAACAUAGAGGCAAGCAAACAAAACAGCCAGACACAAAUACUGACAGAGAAGAAUAAAAACCUUAGGCUUGUUUAGAGGCUGUUUUGUUUUUUCAAGUCUUUUCCAAGUCUUGUCUUCAGCAUUUGAAUACCCAGUCCACUAAUCACAAGCUGAUACAGGAUGUCUUACAAAUGCUAGGUACACUUAGCAGAGCUUUCUUCCUUAUACCAUAAAACAUCUGAGAUUCAACAUAGAGGGUCUUUUAAGGAGUCUUUUAAGAACUGAGAACUACAAUAGCUGCAACAAUUUUAAAAAUGUGUAGCAUUCUAAGGCAAAAAUCUAAUUUUUUUCAGUAAAGCAAAGUAAAACAGUAGCUGUCAUGCAAUCUGAAGAGAAUCAUGUUAGUGUAUUGCACUGAAAUUACUGCCAUGCACAGAGACACAAAAGAGGUUGCAGCAAGGAAAAGCAUUACAAAGUUAUCGUAUUCUACCAAUGAACUUUGAAGCAGAGCAGGAGAGGGUAAGUGACACAGCAGGUUCAAGAACUCCAUCUUACUGUUUUUUUCAAACCACUGGAGGUGGUUUGUUUUGAAGUGGGUAGUGUCCCCAAACAUUCAAAAAUCAAUCCCUCAUACGUGAAGAAAUUGUACUUUUAAUCAUACAGUACCCAUUUUUGACAGUUAUCUCCUCCCACUGCAUGUUUGAUGUAAAUCCUUUCAUAAAAUUAGGAACCUUUGCUGUUAUUAAGCAUUUUGUGCUACUUUGGCCAAAGCUGAAGUUCAAGGAAAUUUGUUGCCCUGGAUGAAUCAUUACCAAGUGAGUCAGUUUUGUACAUACAUGCAAAGUACAUAUUAGUAAGAAAUUAUACAGAAGUUUUCAAAGCAACCUAAUAAAUGUGUUUUACAGAACAAGGAAACUCAUUUCAGCAGCAAAAUUACGAAGAAAGUUUGAAUAUAUAAUACAUAUUAGGAAUUUAAAAUGGAUCCACAGAAAACACUGAAUGAGGAUUCGUUUUGUGCAUUACAAAUUAAUCUGGAUGCAAGAAAAAGGAGCUGUGCUAUUUCAAUUAAUUCUACAUAUUGAAGCAGGUGGAGACUAUCACACCUCAGUCAAGUAUGAGAGCGUGCCAGUUUUUACAUCCAGACCUGGAACUGCCAGUAAUACAUUUGGAAUAAGUAUCCACCCAGUUCAAUUGUCAGCCUGCUCAGAUGCUGGUGUUUGGGUAUCUGCUUACUACAGUAGAGAUCUUUACUCAUGGAUUUACUGAUGGAACUUGUUUCUUGUCUGUUUUUGUGCUUUGCCAGCUUCUUUCUGCCAAGAAAGUGCAGUGCUGCCGUUUAAGACUGCAUCUUCCUCUAGCUCUGACAAAAACCAGCUUCAGGGAUCUCAAGGCAGAAGAGAAACCAUCCAAAACACUGGAUCUUCAUCAAAUUUACACUGUUAAGGGAUUUCAUUAGGGAACAUUUGAGUGAAUGGUCUAUAGCUCUAUAGUAUCACACUUUUCUGGUUAAGGUCUAACACAAGCAUGUGGGUAGAAAACUGCCACUAGCAACUAUGCUACCAUAAUUACCUUCUUAACUUGAACUAGUUAACUUAAAAGUUAACCUAUAAAGGAUAAAAACUGGGAUUAAAAUAGAAGGUAAAGAUUGGAAGCUUAACAUAAAAGCUAUGGGUAACCACAGGAAGGAAUUCAAACUCAACUCCGGAUUGUCCUGAUUUUAUUUGAGUUGGUUAACCAAUUUUGAAGCACUUUUUACAGUUUACAUAACUUAAAGGAACACUAAGUGUCCUAGAAAUGUAAAUUAACAUUUUUCAUAACUCAAGACAUCACAACAAAGCCAGAUUUUGAAAUAAAUUGAUUGUUUAGUUAUCUGGAUCAGGAGGGAACAUACAUGGGGAAGGAAAAACAGCAUCAAUAAGAAAAUGCUUAAGUUCUAGACUGAGUUUGUGCUUCUACACCAAAAACAUAACACUGAAGUAACAACUCUGCAAAGAACUUGAAAAGGGAUGUAACAUCUGUGGUCCCAAAACCAAAGUAUAUAUUAACGCCUUCUAACUCUUACUUUGGUUGUACUAAAUUAAUGCUGAAGUAGAGGGACAAAUUCCAGAUAUGCCAACUCUGCUGUAAAUUUGAAUCCUAAUCUAGCAGUUUUUUAGAUUGCUGGGUUUGGGUUAAAUUGAGUCAGUUAUCCUGCACGAUACACAUAAGCAAAUCUUUUCAAUAUAUUUAAUAAUCGAUGCGUUUGUUAGUACAAAGCAGAUGGUGUUCAGUAAAAAGGCAUGAAGUGACUAUUUAAAAACACCAUGCUAUUUUUUUAAACAUUAAGCAAGACUAAAGAAUUUGGUGAAGGCCAGAUGUUCAAAGCUGGUGCACAGACAAAAUUGUACAUCUGUAACUUAUGAAAUUACCCAGAGGCUGGCAGGUAUUAACAAAUGCCAAUACUUAUUUGCAUGCUUCCCCUAUGACAUCAUCUUUCACUAAACUUUGAAAAUCUGGUCUUAGCUACAAAUUAACACUUUGCUUCACUCCAUUAAUUAAAAAAAGGCAUCCAUCUUUUUGUUUCUGGUUGACGAGUAAUGUGAGAUAUUUUAACCAGUUAAGAUAUUUUAACCAUAUUUAGCUUUCAUUUGUCCCUAUUAAUUUUGUGCAAAUUUGCUCUAAAGUCACCAUGUUUGUUCUCAAAAUGUGUGAAAAAUUUUCAGAAAGCUUUUAAAAAAAUACUGAUUUUCCUGUAUAUUUGUGUUCGCUACAGAUUAUUUUUUGAAGCAGUCUCACAGUCUCAGAGCUUAAAGCCUUAGUUUGUGUUUUUUGUUUGUGUUUUUUUUUUUUGGUUGGUUGGUUUUAAACAGUGUGAUUUAUUUUCUGCCCAGGCCAAAAAAAAAAAUAGGGCAAAAGAUGGAGUUAGAGAGUCAGCCUCUGAACGCUUCUUAAAAAUAGGUGCUUCAAAUACAGGUUUAGAAAAGAAAUUAAAUAUGUUUUCAGUCACACUGAAGAAAACAUCUGUAAAGGAAAAAAAGGCCCUCAUCCUUCAGAUGGAAGAAGAAGGUGGUGGGAAAAAAAGCACCGAUUUCCCAAGUUGCCCAAAUCACACACAGACACAAGAAGGUUACAAAUGCCAUUCAUGAAAGAAUGCACCACAAACAUCAGCAUUUAUUCAUUUUGAUUUUUUUUUUUUUUAGCAAAUGACAAAAGACCCAGCUUACUGGCUUCACUUUUGUUUACCUUUUGCUUACAUUACACGUUUAACAUUUGUCAAAACUUACUAAGUUGUCUGCAUUCAUGCACAACUAGAAAACAUCCUUAAUUUAUUUAAACCAGAAAUGCAUUACCAGAAAUGUAUUAACAUCAUUCACUAGUAAAUAUUAAAAAAAAGUUGAAAUUAUUAAAAAGUUUAUCCUGGAAAUGUUAACUUCACAGCAGACUUAAACUACUAGUUGGCUCACAUUUCAAACAAAUUGGAAAAAGCAAGAUUCAUGCUAGUGUUAGUGUACAUCUUGCCCUAGCACUACUGAAGAAUCAUGGUUCACCUUGGAUCAUAGAUAAUAAAAAGAAAAGUGCAUACAGAAAUUUACAACAAUUUUAAGGACAAAAAAAUGGUCCUAUCGAUGUGGUCCCAACAAUAAACUCAAAAGUCUAUGACAAAUACAAGCUCCCGUGAGCUAUUUAUACUACUUAAGUACGGAUAUACAGAAAGUUGAGUUCAUUUGAAAUCUUCAAAAAAUGUUCCUGUCAAUCCUCAAAUGGUGGUUGUUAUAGCUUAAAAUUUCUGUUAAAUGCGUGCGUUGAAUUACUUGUUAUCCAAGCGUAGCAGCUGCUCCUUACCAUUUAUUGUUAGCGACCUUAACUGGCCAUCUUCUUCAACUUCUACUCUCUCUUGUCCGUUCUCAAAAAUUCUGUAGGACAAAUAACAGUUUGUCAUUUCAGAGCACUGUAACUGGUUUGAAAAUAUACACCAGACCUAGGCUUUUAGAUAAAGCACAACGGAGCACUGCCUGCUUAAUACAACUGUUAUUGGCAAGCUUUCACAUUUAACAGUGCAGCUGUAACUAGCAACCAUCUGCAUUCCCCCACUGAUAUUGCUUAUUUAUAGCAGGAAAAUUGCUUUGUGGAAGUUUGAAUCCUACAGUUUGUGCAGUUCACAGGUAGAGCUGUCACCUCGAAUUGUCACAGCUGUACUGACACUACUUACAAUUAUCUAGGACUAAAUGUCUUUUUUAUAGAUAGAACUGUGCUGUCUUAACAUUGCAUUUUGUAUCAUUUGUUACAUGCAUAAUAUUCUAGAGCCAAUCACAAUUUUGCUUAAUAUAAGACAUGCAAGACAGUCUUCAAUCCACUUUUAACUUGAUCAAAGCAAUUGAAUUGGAGACCAACUGUAUGAUGAGUUUAGGACUAGCAUGUACUAGGCAGAAGUUAAGUAUCCUUGAAUAGAAUGGGAUAUUAUUAAUAAGCUAUGUGGUUUUAGGUUGUUUUAAAAACGGAAAGAUGAGCAAUAUUUAAAUUAAAAAAGUAACUCAUGCCAGAAAUUUUCAUUGUCUUGGCAUUCUCCCCUCAUAAUUAAAAGAAGCCACAUGGAUGGAUACAAACUUCUCUGAUAAUCAGACUUAGUAAAGAGAACACACCCAUAUCAAAAAGAGGGAGAAAGGCUUCCUGUCCGAAGCAAAGCGUUACUCAAAGUUACUCCAUAAAUUCCCAAAUGCAGUCAUUUCUCCAUCACAUAUGGGUAGGCUAUGUACAGUACCUGAAAAUUCCCUUUUGAAUAAAUAGAAAAAAGUUUUCUCCAAAGUGGGUUCAGUUGCUUAGUUCACUCAACAAAUGAAACAAAAUUAAUUUUUACACAGAAAUUCAACUUCACUCAAAAACUGUUUGGGAAAGCACACUAGAACAAAUGUUAGGGAAAGUUAUUUUGUGUUAUCUCAAUUUUCCCAAUUCCAGUCAAUAGCUUCAAUAUCAACAAAAGCCAAGCAUACUUUGCUCUUCUCAAGCUGACUUGGUAGGCAGCAGUCAAAGACCGUGAUAAAAGAUGGGAGGUUCCUAAAGCCCACAAGGACCUCCACUGCAGAGUCCCUUUCAAACAGCAAACAAGUUACUGCCAUCAUUUUUCAUCAGGACAGUUCUCACUGCCGGCCUUAUGCAGUUAAACCCUCCUUAAGAGUUUAGACAAAAACCCUAUCUUCUCUAUUUUCCCAUGCCACAGCUGCAAGCAACUCAGCAAUGCCAAGAAGAGUUACAAAACCCAAAACAACUUUUCUGCCUUAAAACAAACCUCACAAAUUCAAACUGUUAUGACCACAUAAUUUAAAAGGAAAUAAUUAUACACACAUUUGUAUGUGUUUUUAUGUAUACUUAUAUUUAUAUGCAUGUAUGUUCAGCUAUGCAUUUCUAUAUAGUUUCAUAGAAAUGUAUCACUCUUACCUCUUUGUAGUAAUUUUUUUGCCGUUGACUAUUUUAGUUGAGGUUGAUACUGAUUUGAAGUUACCCAUCCCACUGCCACCAAACGAUGUGGAGGAGAAAGAAGUAAGACCUCCAUGUCCCAGUGAACCAAACGAAGUAAAACCUAUUGGGGAAGAAGUUCACAGGAAAAGUAUUUGACCAAAACCAUAUUUCUGCAUGACUGUGAGCUUUGAAUUUAUCAGCCACCGGGACUACAUCCUAGCUUCACAACACACUUUGAUGGCUGCAUCAACGCAACGUCAGUGACUGAUGGCAUUGAACACUGGUAUGAAAAUAAACACCUGACUCCAGCACUAUCACCUUUUCCCAUACGGACCCACAGUUCCAAAUGCUGAGCACUGUCCAAAAACUGUUUGUCCCUUCCUUUAAAGGAAAGCCAUUCAAGCCUGUCAGCUGAACUCAACCAUUACACCAUUCUUUCCGCUCAAGGUAAAGAUAAUAACUUCAGAGUCUUAUUUUUCAUUUUAUCAUAGAAGACUGGAUGCCUUGGGUUAGCAGACAAAAUAAGUUUUGUAUCACUAACGUGCCAACUAAGACCCAUGAUCCUUUAACAACACUGAGUAGCAGCAAGUCUCAGCAACCUCUGAGACACAGACUUCAACAUUCAAGUUAACUACCCCUAACUCAUACUUAGUACUACCGUGUUUUUUUUUCCCCCAGUGAAUUUUCAGGACCUCACCCAAAAGCCAUCACACCAAUACUGAAACAGUUCAAAACCAGUUCUAAAUUCUGGUGCUACAGUUCCUUUAUGGCUUUAAAUGCAAACAAUUCUACCUCUUUGAGGUCUGUUUACUUUUCCUGAGCUUUCAGGUAGACCUAAGGUUUUAUUUACAUUCAGACUUUUCAGAGAGCAUCCUAAAUUCAAAAAAAAGGCCUCACAGUUGAUUAAAUGAAGGCAACUUUACAUCAAGAUGUUUUGUGAACCAAAACAGAAAUUCCAUGUUAUUUGUGAUAUUUACCUGUGUCAAAUGAAGGGAAAGCACUUCCAAAACCAGGGAAUCCACCAAAAGCAGAGAAAAAUGAUCCGCCGCCUCUGUUUCUGCUUCCCCUUGGACCCCGUCUGUUCCCGAAAAAGUCCUCAAAAGGAUCUUC